rnacentral:rRNA from 1 species
GACGUAGGGCGCGAGCGUUGUCCGGAUUUAUUGGGCGUAAAGAGCUCGUAGGCGGCUCAUUGCGUCAACCGUGAAAACCAGCAGCUCAACUGUUGGCUUGCGGUUGAUACGGGUGGGCUGGAGUUCGGUAGGGGAGACUGGAAUUCCUGGUGUAGCGGUGAAAUGCGCAGAUAUCAGGAGGAACACCGGUGGCGAAGGCGGGUCUCUGGGCCUGUCCUGACGCUCAGGCGCGAAAGCUAGGGGAGCAAACAGG